AGCAGCCGCGGUAAUUCCAGCUCCAAUAGCGUAUAUUAAAGUUGUUGCAGUUAAAAAGCUCGUAGUUGAAUUUCGGGGUCGGUAGGUUGGUCAUGCCUCUGGUAUGCACUGGUCUCACUGAUUCCUCCUUCCUGAUGAGCCGUAAUGCCAUUAAUUUGGUGUUGCGAGGAAUCUGGACUGUUACUUUGAAAAAAUUAGAGUGUUUAAAAGCAAGCUGACGCUCGAAUACAUUAGCAUGGAAUAAUGGAAUAGGACGUUCGAUCCUAUUUUGUUGGUUUCUAGGAUUGACGUAAUGAUUAAUAGGGAUAGUUGGGGGCAUUAGUAUUCAAUUGUCAGAGGUGAAAUUCUUGGAUUUAUUGAAGACUAACUACUGCGAAAGCAUUUGCCAAGGAUGUUUUCAUUAAUCAAGAACGAAAGUUAGGGGAUCGAAGACGAUCAGAUACCGUCGUAGUCUUAACCAUAAACUAUGCCGACUAGGGAUCGGAUUGAUGUUAAUUUUUAAUGACUCAUUC
rnacentral:rRNA from 1 species